rnacentral:rRNA from 1 species
UACGAAGGGGGCUAGCGUUGCUCGGAAUCACUGGGCGUAAAGCGCACGUAGGCGGAUUGUUAAGUCAGGGGUGAAAUCCUGGAGCUCAACUCCAGAACUGCCUUUGAUACUGAAGAUCUUGAGUUCGGGAGAGGUGAGUGGAACUGCGAGUGUAGAGGUGAAAUUCGUAGAUAUUCGCAAGAACACCAGUGGCGAAGGGCGGCUCACUGGCCCGAUACUGACGCUGAGGCACGAAAGCGUG